rnacentral:rRNA from 2 species
ACGGGAGAAAGCAGGGGACCUUCGGGCCUUGCGCUAAUAGAUGAGCCUAGGUCGGAUUAGCUAGUUGGUGAGGUAAUGGCUCACCAAGGCGACGAUCCGUAACUGGUCUGAGAGGAUGAUCAGUCACACUGGAACUGAGACACGGUCCAGACUCCUACGGGAGGCAGCAGUGGGGAAUAUUGGACAAUGGGCGAAAGCCUGAUCCAGCCAUGCCGCGUGUGUGAAGAAGGUCUUCGGAUUGUAAAGCACUUUGGGAGGAAGGGCAUUAACCUAAUACGUUAGUGUUUUGACGUUACCGACAGAAUAAGCACCGGCUAACUUCGUGCCAGCAGCCGCGGUAAUACGAAGGGUGCAAGCGUUAAUCGGAAUUACUGGGCGUAAAGCGCGCGUAGGUGGUUUGUUGGAUGUGAAAGCCCCGGGCUCAACCUGGGAACUGCAUCCAAAACUGGCAAGCUAGAGUAUGGCAGAGGGUGGUGGAAUUUCCUGUGUAGCGGUGAAAUGCGUAGAUAUAGGAAGGAACACCAGUGGCGAAGGCGACCACCUGGGCUAAUACUGACACUGAGGUGCGAAAGCGUGGGGGAGCAAACAGGAUUAGAUACCCUGGUAGUCCACGCCGUAAACGAUGUCGACUAGCCGUUGGGAUCCUUGAGAUCUUAGUGGCGCAGCUAACGCAUCGACCGCCUGGGGAGUACGGCCGCAAGGUUAAAACUCAAAUGAAUUGACGGGGGCCCGCACAAGCGGUGGAGCAUGUGUUUAAUGCAACGCGAAGAACCUUACCAGGCCUUGACAUGCAGAGAACUUUCCAGAGAUGGAUUGUGCCUUCGGGAACUCUGACACAGUGCUGCAUGACUGUCGUCAGCUCGUGUCGUGAGAUGUUGGUCCCGUACGAGCGCACCCUU